rnacentral:rRNA from 1 species
GGUUAAGCGACUAAGCGUACACGGUGGAUGCCCUGGCAGUCAGAGGCGAUGAAGGACGUGCUAAUCUGCGAUAAGCGUCGGUAAGGUGAUAUGAACCGUUAUAACCGGCGAUUUCCGAAUGGGGAAACCCAGUGUGAUUCGUCACACUAUCAUUACGUGAAUACAUAGCGUAAUGAAGCGAACCGGGGGAACUGAAACAUCUAAGUACCCCGAGGAAAAGAAAUCAACCGAGAUUCCCCCAGUAGCGGCGAGCGAACGGGGAGCAGCCCAGAGUCUGAAUCAGCUUGUGUGUUAGUGGAACGGUCUGGAAAGUCCGACGGUACAGGGUGAUAGUCCCGUACACCAAAAUGCACAGGUUGUGAACUCGAAGAGUAGGGCGGGACACGUGGUAUCCUGUCUGAAUAUGGGGGGACCAUCCUCCAAGGCUAAAUACUCCUGACUGACCGAUAGUGAACCAGUACCGUGAGGGAAAGGCGAAAAGAACCCCGGCGAGGGGAGUGAAAAAGAACCUGAAACCGUGUACGUACAAGCAGUGGGAGCCUCUUUAUGGGGUGACUGCGUACCUUUUGUAUAAUGGGUCAGCGACUUAUAUUCUGUAGCAAGGUUAACCGUAUAGGGGAGCCGAAGGGAAACCGAGUCUUAACUGGGCGUUAAGUUGCAGGGUAUAGACCCGAAACCCGGUGAUCUAGCCAUGGGCAGGUUGAAGGUUGGGUAACACUAACUGGAGGACCGAACCGACUAAUGUUGAAAAAUUAGCGGAUGACUUGUGGCUGGGGGUGAAAGGCCAAUCAAACCGGGAGAUAGCUGGUUCUCCCCGAAAGCUAUUUAGGUAGCGCCUCGUGAAUUCAUCUUCGGGGGUAGAGCACUGUUUCGGCUAGGGGGUCAUCCCGACUUACCAACCCGAUGCAAACUGCGAAUACCGAAGAAUGUUAUCACGGGAGACACACGGCGGGUGCUAACGUCCGUCGUGAAGAGGGAAACAACCCAGACCGCCAGCUAAGGUCCCAAAGUCAUGGUUAAGUGGGAAACGAUGUGGGAAGGCACAGACAGCCAGGAUGUUGGCUUAGAAGCAGCCAUCAUUUAAAGAAAGCGUAAUAGCUCACUGGUCGAGUCGGCCUGCGCGGAAGAUGUAACGGGGCUAAACCAUGCACCGAAGCUGCGGCAGCGACACUAUGUGUUGUUGGGUAGGGGAGCGUUCUGUAAGCCGUUGAAGGUGUAUCGUGAGGUAUGCUGGAGGUAUCAGAAGUGCGAAUGCUGACAUAAGUAACGAUAAUGCGGGUGAAAAACCCGCACGCCGGAAGACCAAGGGUUCCUGUCCAACGUUAAUCGGGGCAGGGUGAGUCGACCCCUAAGGCGAGGCCGAAAGGCGUAGUCGAUGGGAAACAGGUUAAUAUUCCUGUACUUGGUGUUACUGCGAAGGGGGGACGGAGAAGGCUAUGUUAGCCGGGCGACGGUUGUCCCGGUUUAAGCAUGUAGGCGGAGGUUCCAGGUAAAUCCGGUACCUUUUAACGCUGAGGUGUGAUGACGAGGCACUACGGUGCUGAAGUAACAAAUGCCCUGCUUCCAGGAAAAGCCUCUAAGCAUCAGGUAACACGAAAUCGUACCCCAAACCGACACAGGUGGUCAGGUAGAGAAUACCAAGGCGCUUGAGAGAACUCGGGUGAAGGAACUAGGCAAAAUGGUGCCGUAACUUCGGGAGAAGGCACGCUGAUAUGUAGGUGAAGUGAUUUACUCAUGGAGCUGAAAUCAGUCGAAGAUACCAGCUGGCUGCAACUGUUUAUUAAAAACACAGCACUGUGCAAACACGAAAGUGGACGUAUACGGUGUGACGCCUGCCCGGUGCCGGAAGGUUAAUUGAUGGGGUUAUCCGUAAGGAGAAGCUCUUGAUCGAAGCCCCGGUAAACGGCGGCCGUAACUAUAACGGUCCUAAGGUAGCGAAAUUCCUUGUCGGGUAAGUUCCGACCUGCACGAAUGGCGUAAUGAUGGCCAGGCUGUCUCCACCCGAGACUCAGUGAAAUUGAACUCGCUGUGAAGAUGCAGUGUACCCGCGGCAAGACGGAAAGACCCCGUGAACCUUUACUAUAGCUUGACACUGAACACUGGUCCUUGAUGUGUAGGAUAGGUGGGAGGCUUUGAAGUGUGGACGCCAGUCUGCAUGGAGCCAUCCUUGAAAUACCACCCUUUAAUGGCUGGUGUUCUAACGUGGACCCGUAAUCCGGGUUGCGGACAGUGUCUGGUGGGUAGUUUGACUGGGGCGGUCUCCUCCUAAAGAGUAACGGAGGAGCACGAAGGUUAGCUAAUCCUGGUCGGACAUCAGGAGGUUAGUGCAAAGGCAUAAGCUAGCUUGACUGCGAGAGUGACGGCUCGAGCAGGUGCGAAAGCAGGUCUUAGUGAUCCGGUGGUUCUGAAUGGAAGGGCCAUCGCUCAACGGAUAAAAGGUACUCCGGGGAUAACAGGCUGAUACCGCCCAAGAGUUCAUAUCGACGGCGGUGUUUGGCACCUCGAUGUCGGCUCAUCACAUCCUGGGGCUGAAGUAGGUCCCAAGGGUAUGGCUGUUCGCCAUUUAAAGUGGUACGCGAGCUGGGUUUAGAACGUCGUGAGACAGUUCGGUCCCUAUCUGCCGUGGGCGCUGGAGAAUUGAGGGGGGCUGCUCCUAGUACGAGAGGACCGGAGUGGACGCAUCACUGGUGUUCGGGUUGUCAUGCCAAUGGCAUUGCCCGGUAGCUAAAUGCGGAAGAGAUAAGUGCUGAAAGCAUCUAAGCACGAAACUUGCCCCGAGAUGAGUUCUCCCUGAGACUAUAAGUCUCCUGAAGGAACGUUGAAGACGACGACGUUGAUAGGUCGGGUGUGUAAGUGUAGCGAUACAUUGAGCUAACCGAUACUAAUGAACCGUGAGGCUUAACCUU